UACGGGAGGCAGCAGUGGGGAAUAUUGGGCAAUGGGCGAAAGCCUGACCCAGCGACGCCGCGUGAAGGAAGACGGUCUUCGGAUUGUAAACUUCUUUUAUGUAGGACGAAAAAGUGACGGUACUACAAGAAUAAGCCACGGCUAACUACGUGCCAGCAGCCGCGGUAAU
rnacentral:rRNA from 1 species